rnacentral:rRNA from 1 species
UAGGGGGCGAGCGUUAUCCGGAUUCAUUGGGCGUAAAGCGCGCGCAGGCGGCCGCCUAAGCGGGACCUCUAAUCCUGGGGCUCAACCUCAGGCCGGGUCCCGAACUGGGCGGCUCGGGUGCGGUAGGGGUAGGCGGAAUUCCCGGUGUAGCGGUGGAAUGCGCAGAUAUCGGGAAGAACACCGACGGCGAAGGCAGCCUACUGGGCCGCCACCGACGCUGAGGCGCGAAAGCUAGGGGAGCGAA